rnacentral:rRNA from 1 species
GGGGGGGGGGGGGGGGGGGGGGGGGGGGGGUGGGGCGGGGGGGGGGGGCGGGUGCGGGGGGUGGGCGGGUGGCGGGCGGGUGAGUAGCACGUGAGUAACGUGCCCGUGGCUGUGGGGUAACUUCCGGACACUGGGGCUACUGCCGGGUAGGAGCUCGUGCUGCAUGGGGGGGGUUGGAACGUUUCGGCGGUUGGGGAUGGACUCGCGGCUUAUCAGCUUGUUGGUGGGGUAGUGGCUUACCAAGGAUUUGACGGGUAGCCGGCCUGAGAGGGUGACCGGCCACAUUGGGACGGAGAUACGGCCCAGACUCCUACGGGAGGCAGCAGUGGGGAAUAUUGCACAAUGGGUGGAAGCCUGAUGCAGCAACGCCGUGUGCGGGAUGACGGCCUUCGGGUUGUAAACCGCUUUCGCUCAUGACGAAGCUUUGUGUGACGGUAGUGGGUAAAGAAGCACCGGCUAACUACGUG